CCUACGGGUGGCAGCAGUGGGGAAUUUUGGACAAUGGGCGAAAGCCUGAUCCAGCAAUGCCGCGUGCAGGAUGAAGGCCUUCGGGUUGUAAACUGCUUUUGUGAACAACCCGGUACCGUAAGAAUAAGCACCGGCUAACUACGUGCCAGCAGCCGCGGUAAUACGUAGGGUGCGAGCGUUAAUCGGAAUUACUGGGCGUAAAGCGUGCGCAGGCGGUUAUGUAAGACAGAUGUGAAAUCCCCGGGCUCAACCUGGGAACUGCAUUGGUGACUGCAUGGCUAGAGUACGGUAGAGGGGGAUGGAAUUCCGCGUGUAGCAGUGAAAUGCGUAGAUAUGCGGAGGAACACCGAUGGCGAAGGCAAUCCCCUGGCCGUACUGACGCUCAUGCACGAAAGCGGGGGAGCAAACAGGAUUAGAUACCUUGUAGUC
rnacentral:rRNA from 1 species